CCUACGGGGCGCUGCAGUGGGGAAUAUUGGACAAUGGGCGAAAGCCUGAUCCAGCCAUGCCGCGUGUGUGAAGAAGGCCUUCGGGUUGUAAAGCACUUUCAGUGGGGAAGAAAGCCUUGGGGCUAAUACCCUCGAGGAAGGACAUCACCCACAGAAGAAGCACCGGCUGAACUCCGUGCCAGCAGCCGCGGUAAUACGGAGGGUGCGAGCGUUAAUCGGAAUUACUGGGCGUAAAGCGCGCGUAGGCGGUCUGAUAAGCCGGUUGUGAAAGCCCCGGGCUCAACCUGGGAACGGCAUCCGGAACUGUCAGGCUAGAGUGCAGGAGAGGAAGGUAGAAUUCCCGGUGUAGCGGUGAAAUGCGUAGAGAUCGGGAGGAAUACCAGUGGCGAAGGCGGCCUUCUGGACUGACACUGACGCUGAGGUGCGAAAGCGUGGGUAGCAAACAGGAUUAGAUACCCUUGUAGUC
rnacentral:rRNA from 1 species